rnacentral:sRNA from 1 species
UUUCUUUUGGUUUUUUUUU